rnacentral:lncRNA from 1 species
CAAAAGUAGGAAGAAAUGAAGGUCAGCAUCAACAGAUAACAAACAACAAUCACAACCAGCAACAGUAAUCACAUAUGUUCAGAUGUAGCCACGGAGGAAUUUAGAAAUCGAGAAACGCUUUAAAAUCAGGCAGGAUCAACAAUCAACCCAAAACGAUUUCAAACUAGCUCAAACAACCUCCAAAUGAACCCAGAACCUUUUAUAAUCUCAAUGAACAAGAAUUCAAUUUAAACAAACCAAUUUCCACUUCAAAUUCAACCUAGAAACUUUGAAGCCUCUUGAUUACUAAGAAAACAGACAUGCAACCUAAUGUAACAGUGAUUUUUUAUGAUUUUCUGUUGCUUUGUUAUAUAUUUAUUUUGGUUUUUGGAGAUUUUCUACUGUUUUU